GCCUGGGUGGCUCAGUCAGUUAAGCAUCUGACUUUGGCUCAGGUCAUGAUCUCACUGUUUGUGGGUUCAAGCCCCACAUCGGGCU
rnacentral:tRNA from 1 species